CGUGGCCGCGGGAGUCCCUGGUCGGGGGUCCGAGCAGAGCCGCUGCACCGCGAGCUUCUCCGGGGCCUCUCGCCGUCGCUCUUUUUCACUCCCGAAAGUUUUUACGGUGUCUCGGGGUUGCAAGCGGACUGACGUCCUCCGAAAUGGAGCAAGAGCCACAAAAUGGAGAACCUGCUGAAAUUAAGAUCAUCAGGGAAGCAUACCAGAAGGCCUUUUUAUUUGUUAAUAAAGGACUGAAUACAGAUGAAUUAGGUCAGAAAGAAGAAGCAAAGAACUACUAUAAGCAAGGAAUAGGACACCUGCUCAGGGGAAUCAGCAUAACAUUGGCAGAGCCUGCACACGAAGGCCCUGGGUGGGAGUCCGUGAGACAGAUGCAACAGAAAAUGAAAGAAACGCUACAGAAUGUACGUACCAGGCUAGAAAUUCUAGAGAAGGGUCUUGCCACUUCUCUACGUAGUGAUCAAGAGGUGCCCAAGUUAUAUCCAGAAUUUCCACCUAAAGACAUGUGUGAAAAGUCACUGGAGUCGCAGCCCUCUUGCUCACCUCUCCAGCAUGCUGAAGUAGAUGGAAGCACUUCAGCUACAAGUGCAGGGUCAGUUGCUGCAUCGUCUUCUCUGUCCCUGCCAUCUCCAAGCUGUCCAGCAGAAGCUCCCCCUGCUUAUACUCCGCAGGCUGCUGAGGGGCACUACACUGUGUCCUAUGGAACCGAUUCUGGGGAAUUUUCAUCAGUUGGAGAAGACUUCUAUAGGAAUCAUUCUCAGCCACCUCCUCUGGAGACCUUAGGGUUAGAUGCAGAUGAGUUGAUUUUGAUACCAAAUGGAGUACAGAUUUUUUUUGUAAAUCCUGCAGGAGAGGUUAGUGCACCUUCGUAUCCUGGAUACCUUCGAAUCGUGAGGUUCUUGGAUAAUUCUCUGGAUACAGUUCUAAAUCGUCCUCCUGGAUUUCUUCAGGUGAGUGGGAAAAAGAUGUAA